CUCAUUUAGAGGAAGUAAAAGUCGUAACAAGGUUUCCGUAGGUGAACCUGCGGAAGGAUCAUUAACACGUUAUCCAACGUCAUCAAUGUGAACUGUUUUCAAUCUCUCUUUGCGAGGAAUGAGCGGAAGAAUGUAGUGGUGUUGAAAGGGCUUGAUUCGUCAAGCAGCCACUAUUUUCUACUUGUGUGUUUUAGAAAUAACUCGCACAGACGUUGUAUCCUUUAGCGAAGACUAUCCUGCGCAGACUUCUCCUUUCAUUGAAGGCUGUUAGCGGGAAACUUAUUUAACCUAUUUCACCUUUUUGCUAGUUGACUUUUAUAUGUUGUUCUUUGCGCUUCGGCGUAAGGUUCACACGUUUAAUUAUUUGAACGUUAAAAUUACAACUCUUAGCAAUGGAUAUCUUGGUUCUC
rnacentral:misc_RNA from 1 species